rnacentral:misc_RNA from 1 species
UCCGGCUUAACGCCGGCAGUCUCCCUAGAGUGUCCAACUGAAUGGUGGCAACUAAGGACGGGGGUUGCGCUCGUUGCGGGACUUAACCCAACAUCUCACGACACGAGCUGACGACAGCCAUGCAGCACCUGUCUCCGGUCCAGCCGAACUGAAGGACUCCGUCUCUGGAGUCCGCGACCGGGAUGUCAAGGGCUGGUAAGGUUCUGCGCGUUGCGUCGAAUUGAGCCACAUACUCCACCGCUUGUGCAGGCCCCCGUCAAUUUCUUUGAGUUUUAAUCUUGCGACCGUACUUCCCAGGCGGCACGUUUAACGCGUUGGCUACGCCACAAAAGGGGUCGAUUCCUUUUACAGCAAACGUGCACCGUUUACAGCUAGGACUAC